ACAUUUCAAACUACAUUGAAGAGACAGGGAAUACACUUAAAUUGUGACAUCACAAAUUAGUGGGACUCAAUCCCUCAGAGACAUCCCUAGCUACAAAGACCAGGGAAACAAGGACUAGGGGACACUUAGAAACAUGUAACCAUUCGAUUCACUGAAAACAAGGGACACCAAAGGUGAAUGCCACAAAAAAAAAGAGAUUCACUUCAACAUUUAUCUCGGAAAACACACAAGGAAAGACAAAAGACAGACAAGUCACUGCUUCUAUCAAGGGAACCAUGCUUAACUGCUUUAAAGGAUGCCCAGAUGCAGCAGUAAGGAUGGAUGAAGAGACAAAGGAAGACUUCUUCCUGGACCAGCAGAUGGACCACAGUCGGUGUGCUCAGUCGGUACCCAUGUCAUGCCAAGAGAUCUAAAGGAAGACCGCCUGGAUGCUACGUGUCCCUUCUUCCCCAGAAGAGAAUUUGCCAGAGGACAUGGAAAAGAAUCCCACUUAGUCCCAGGAGGUCUGCAUGACUUGUAAUCUGCACCAUUGGGGAAAAACCCAUAUUGAUAGUACUAUAGAAUCAAAGUUCCUUACAGCAGCUUGGUGCCCUCGGUAUAGGAGAAUCUCAUGAAAAUGGUGCUUGGUCAAUUAAAAAGCCUGUUCAAUAUCAUAAGCAUUGUUAGGAGGAAGCCCUAAGAAUGAUUUCGGUAUCAAAAUCAUUUCCCUUAUAUAUCCCCUUACAGCCUGAAGGGAUAAAGGGAAUGACACUCCAAUAGGUUACAGAGAAAGCCAAAUUGGGGCAGAAACUUUCCACUGGGUAGAUGUGUCAGAGCAAAAAGUAAAAUCCCCUUCUUUAUUUCCCACAACAUGGUGGUUUCCUCAUGUCAUGUAUUACUUAACAUCAGGUUCCUGGUCAGAUAAAAUCAAAAUAAUCAAGUAAUUAUCAUAGUUCCCUUUGUGAUACUUACUUGGGAGGUUAUACCUUAUAACUGACUUGACCGUAUACAUAUCCUAUUUUUAUUAUAUAAUAAUGGUAACUUUAAAAAACUUUAUUGGUUUGCAUAUGGCUGAUUUUCAAGUAUCUGUACCAAGAGAAGGAAGCAAAUACACAAAGGUAAUCCAAAAUUUGUGAUUAAUCCCCAAAUUAUUCAACUUGAAAUCUUAUAUUUCCCUUUAUAGUUGGAAAUUCACCAUGAUAGGAGGCAGCUCCACAAAGUGUUGGUAGUAGAUCUAGAUGAAGAGGGCCUAAGUUCAAAUCACACUUCUCUAAGACUAGAGCCUAGUCCUUUUUUGUCCUGAAUCUCCAUUUAUUU